rnacentral:rRNA from 1 species
CAGCCGCCGCGGUAAUACGAAGGGGGCUAGCGUUGUUCGGAUUUACUGGGCGUAAAGCGCACGUAGGCGGACUUUUAAGUCAGGGGUGAGAUCCCGGGGCUCAACCCCGGAACUGCCUUUGAUACUGGGAGUCUUGAGUUCGAGAGAGGUGAGUGGAAUUGCGAGUGUAGAGGUGAAAUUCGUAGAUAUUCGCAGGAACACCAGUGGCGAAGGCGGCUCACUGGCUCGAUACUGACGCUGAGGUGCGAAAGCGUGGGGAGCAAACAGGAUUAGAUACCCCAGUAGUCCCUGUCUUUAUACA